rnacentral:rRNA from 1 species
GACGAACGCUGGCGGCGUGCCUAAUACAUGCAAGUAGAACGCUGAAGGAGGAGCUUGCUCUUCUGGAUGAGUUGCGAACGGGUGAGUAACGCGUAGGUAACCUGCCUGGUAGCGGGGGAUAACUAUUGGAAACGAUAGCUAAUACCGCAUAACAGUAGAUGUCGCAUGACAUUUGCUUAAAAGGUGCAAUUGCAUCACUACCAGAUGGACCUGCGUUGUAUUAGCUAGUUGGUGAGGUAACGGCUCACCAAGGCAACGAUACAUAGCCGACCUGAGAGGGUGAUCGGCCACACUGGGACUGAGACACGGCCCAGACUCCUACGGGAGGCAGCAGUAGGGAAUCUUCGGCAAUGGACGGAAGUCUGACCGAGCAACGCCGCGUGAGUGAAGAAGGUUUUCGGAUCGUAAAGCUCUGUUGUAAGAGAAGAACGAGUGUGAGAGUGGAAAGUUCACGCUGUGACGGUAUCUACCA